GACGAACCGAGCGAACGUUGUUCGGAAUCACUGGGCUUAAAGGGCGCGUAGGCGGGCUGUCAAGUCUGGGGUGAAAUCCCCGCGGCUCAACCGUGGAACUGCCUCAGAUACUGACGGCCUCGAGGGAGGUAGGGGCGAGCGGAACUAAUGGUGGAGCGGUGAAAUGCGUUGAUAUCAUUAGGAACUCCGGUGGCGAAAGCGGCUCGCUGGACCUUUUCUGACGCUGAUGCGCGAAAGCUAGGGGAGCAAACAGG
rnacentral:rRNA from 1 species